rnacentral:misc_RNA from 1 species
GAUGAAGAACGCAGCGAAAUGCGAUAAGUAAUGUGAAUUGCAGAAUUCAGUGAAUCAUCGAAUCUUUGAACGCACAUUGCGCCCUCUGGUAUUCCGGGGGGCAUGCCUGUUCGAGCGUCAUUACAACCCUCAAGCUUUGCUUGGUAUUGGACAUUGCCAGUUUCUGGCAGGUCUUAAAAUCAGUGGCGGUGCCAUUUGGCUUCAAGCGUAGUAAUUCUUCUCGCUUUGGAGAUCCAAGUGGUUACUUGCCAAUAACCCCCAAUUUUUUCAGGUUGACCUCGGAUCAGGUAGGGAUACCCGCUGAACUUAAGCAUAUCAAUAAGCGGAGA